rnacentral:rRNA from 1 species
UACGAGGGGGGCAAGCGUUAUUCGGAAUUACUGGGCGUAAAGGGCGCGCAGGCGGCCUGUUAAGUGAGAAGUGAAAGCCCCGGGCUCAACCCGGGAAAUGCUUCUCAUACUGGCAGGCUAGAGGAUGGGAGAGGAAAAUGGAAUUCCCGGUGUAGCGGUGAAAUGCGUAGAGAUCGGGAGGAACACCAGUGGCGAAGGCGGUUUUCUGGACCAUUACUGACGCUGAGGCGCGAAAGCGUGGGGAGCAAACAGG